rnacentral:lncRNA from 1 species
GGCUUGACAUGAAUGAAGCAUCUAAUUUCAUCACCUCUGGUCCCCUUCAAAAUUCAAGUCUCGAUGACCCUCCCUACAAAAUAAAAAAUUCGCAAAUUAAUAACAACGCAAUCCCAGCAACAUCUUUGCAUUAUGGUAAUGUCACUGAGUAUAAUGUCCACAAUUUGUAUGGAUUCCUACAAACCAAAGUAACUCACAAGGCUCUAACUAAUAUAACUGGUAAAAGGCCAUUCAUUCUCAGUAGAUCAACUUUUGUAAGCUCUGGUAAAUAUGCAGCACACUGGACAGGAGAUAAUGCUGCUUCAUGGAAUGAUUUGGCAUACUCUAUACCAUCAAUAUUAAAUUCUGGAAUCUUUGGAAUUCCAAUGGUUGGGGCAGAUAUAUGUGGUUUCUUAAGAGAUACUAAUGAAGAACUUUGCAGGCGCUGGAUCCAGGUAGAAUUGACCGUCAAACACAGUAUUAUAGGAUAAUCUUUUCACUCUCUGUAUGAUACUAAUUAUUCACAUAUGCUUGCUUAAGAAAGACUAUAGUAGUUACAAAACAAAACUACAGAACAACCAGAUGUUACUAAGUAUUCACAAUGCCACAUCUACUUGUCUAAAACUAUAGUUACUUAGUAUUCACAAUUUGACAUACUUGCCUAAAACUAUAGAAGUUACCAAAAUUACAUGUGGAAACUGCCAUGAUUUUUUGGUUAGUGGAAAAUAUGAAGGAAUCAUAUGUGAAAUGAAAUGCACAUUAUAACAACUAUAUAUACAUGUCUAACUUUUUUCUUUUCCUCUUUCUAGUUGGGAGCUUUUUACCCCUUUUCAAGAGAUCAUUCUGAUAAAAAUUCAAGGAGGCAAGAGCUUUACCUUUGGGACUCAGUUGCUGCAUCAGCUAAGAAAGUACUUGCCCUCCGAUAUCGACUGCUCCCUUAUUUCUAUACACUAAAUUACGAAGCACAUGUUAAAGGAACACCUAUUGCACGACCCCUUUUCUUUUCGUUCCCCGAGGAUGUCGCAACAUAUGGAAUAAAUUCACAGUUUCUACUAGGCAAAGGGGUUCUAGUGUCACCUGUACUAAAAUCCGGGGAAACCAAAGUCGAAGCAUACUUUCCUGCAGGAAACUGGUUUGAACUUUUCAAUCUCUCGAAAU